rnacentral:rRNA from 1 species
UACGUAGGGUGCAGGCGUUAAUCGGAAUUACUGGGCGUAAAGCGUGCGCAGGCGGUUUGCUAAGACAGGUGUGAAAUCCCCGGGCUUAACCUGGGAACUGCGCUUGUAACUGGCAAGCUAGAGUGUGGCAGAGGGGGGUGGAAUUCCACGUGUAGCAGUGAAAUGCGUAGAUAUCGAGAGGAACACCAGUGGCGAAGGCGACUCACUGGGCUCCACCUGACGCUGAGGCGCGAAAGCGUGGGGAGCGAACCGG